ensembl:lncRNA
GGCAGGGUCCCGGCGGCCGUGCCCUACGAAGGGCCUGGGCCGGGCGCGCUGGGAAGCGGCGGGGCUGGAGCAGGCGGAGGGUGAGUGACGGCGGGGCGACGCUCAGCGCCGUCUUCAGUGGGAAGCGAAUCAGCCGUAGGUGGGAAAUUAGGGUCACAUCUCCGAUCUCCCGAGCCUUAUUGUAGAGCAAAGCCUUUCGACGCGGGAUUUGGUCCCUAGCGCCGGUUUGCUGGUAUUGCUGACAUCCCAGCAAAACAUGUGCAGGAUGCUCACAGCACUGCGUUAUGGCAAGGGUUCAGCCGGCUCGAUGCUUGAAGCUGCUAGAUGCUGCCUCAGCGUUCCGUUAGGACUGUGAGAAGUCAGGUCACUCUGCUGAUGCAGGGAGCUGAAAUACAGCAUCGAACUUAAAACGUGGAUUCUAUCGUAUACAUGGGAUUGCUCAAGCCAAGGUACGGUGGAGGGGGGACGUGGCCGAGGUCUUCUGAGACACAUGGAAGAACCCUCAGGUGAAUUGUGCUGUGGAAGUGCAGCACAACCACAGGAGCACCAGCCGAACGCUUGUGAGUCCCUGCUGAUUUGUUUGCAAUAAACGUGACUGCUCUGAAGGUGUCUGGCACCAUCACGUUAUCUUCCUCAAUGCCAUAACUGAUGAGGUCCUCAUUUUUAAGGCAGAACGAUGCAACUUUCGAUAUAUUCAACGCCAGCCCCCUGCCCCCAGGCUGUCUUUGCAGUCAACAGGCAUGUAAAAUAUUCAGAGUAAAAAAAGAAAUCAUCAUGUGUGACUAGAAAGUGCUGAAGCACAGCGUGCGGCACUGCCGGCUCAUGCAACAGCUCCGUGUGCACAGCCACGCUCACAGGGCUCAGCCUCCCCCUGUUCCUGGAUUCUGAUGAGAACCCAAAGAGAAGGAGGCAAACAGAUCACGCUCCAUGCACCUACACACAAGAAGAAAAUGCUACUCAGCUUGCAUGGAAACACUACAGAGCGCUUCUCUGCAUGUUUUUCAGGCAGUAAAUCUGUGAGCAACUUUUUGAAGCCUGGACGGAACUCAAUCAUGUGAAAAUCAGGGAAGGAAAAAAACAAGAACCAUCAAGAUCAUCAGUGAUACCAUUUAAUGCUCUUCUGGAAUGCGUUCAGAUAACACACCACGAAGGCAGAACACAGUGUGGCCAGGAGCAUGACUGGGCCACAAAUAAUUCGGUACAAUGAUCUUGCAGUGAUAUUAACAUUCUAGUUAGUCACUGCUAUUAGGGUAAACAUACUAAAAAAUGAACCACAUGAAGAAUUUCAUAACCUCAAAAUUCCAGAGACCAUGAGACACUUCGGUGUUCAUACUGCCCAUUAUGCUCUGAAUGUACAGAGAGUGUAGAAUAUGGGCUAGAUAGAAAAGGACAAAGAUACCAGCAAACAAUAUUCAGAAUCAACUCUUUAAUAAUUUAACUGUAUACUUCAGAGAGCAAAACGAUGUAAGCAACAUGGGAAUUCCCACCAACUGUGCUUUGUUUAGUUUAUUUCACUAAGCAUUUGUUUUUUUUGGUGUCAAAGCAUAUAAAAACAUUAAAAGAAUCAGUUGUCUACAACUUUUAGGAUAGCAUCCAUGACAGUGGGCAGGAACCUCCCAGUACCUCAUCUUUCUUAUCAACUAUAUUGUAAUUCGGCUGAAGCAGUUGUGUAUCUGCCACAUUCCAGGUCACCUAUAGACAAGACCUACUGCGUCAACUGAUUGAGCAGCCAGGAAGAAAAGCCCUUUCCAUUAUGAAUGUUAUGACACAAGAGUUAGAUGGUUUAUUUGCUCAUUUAUCAGAAAUAGAAUCAAAUAUAAGAGCAUAAAGAAAUGAAGAGAUGCAUUCACAGUGCUAUAAAAACUUACUGAAAUACAUAAAUCUGGCUGUAGAAGGGGCAUUAUUUCUCUGUUAGCUACCCAUGUGUAUAUGGGAAUGGAGACUACUGGAAACAAGCAGAGUUGAAUAAAUGAUUUUUUCACAUAGCUCUGAA